ACUCAAAGGAAUUGACGGGGCCCCGCACAAGCGGUGGAGCAUGUUGUUUAAUACGUCAUUAACCGUAGAACCUUACCAGGGUUUGACAUCCACUGCACCGGCCUGAAAGGGUCGUCCUCCGCAAGGAGGCAGUGAGACAGGUGUUGCAUGGCUGUCGUCAGCUCGUGUCGUGAGAUGUUGGGUUAAGUCCCGCAACGAGCGCAACCCUCAUCCCCUGUUGCCAGCGGCUAAGGCCGGGAACUCUGGGGAAACUGCCGGGGUAACUCGGAGGAAGGCGAGGAUGAAGUCAAGUCAGCAUGGCCCUUACACCCUGGGCUACAAACAUGCUACAAUGGACGCCAAACAGAGGGAUCCGAGCUCGCGAGAGGGAGGCAAUCCCAGAAAGGCGUUCUCAGUUCGGAUCGCAGGCUGCAACUCGCCUGCGUGAAGUCGGAAUCGCUAGUAACCGCAGAUCAGCUAAGCUGCGGUGAAUACGUUCCCGGGGCUUGUACACACCGCCCGU
rnacentral:rRNA from 1 species